rnacentral:rRNA from 1 species
GUGGGGAAUAUUGGACAAUGGGCGCAAGCCUGAUCCAGCGACGCCGCGUGGAGGACGAAGGCCUUCGGGUUGUAAACUCCUUUUGGAGGGGAAGAAUAAAUUGACGGUACCCUCAGAAAAAGCCACGGCUAACUACGUGCCAGCAGCCGCGGUAAUACGUAGGUGGCGAGCGUUACUCGGAAUUGCUAGGCGUAAAGCGUAUGUAGGUGGUUAGAUAAGUCUAUGGUGAAAUUUCCUGGCUUAACUGGGAAGGGACAUAGAUACUAUCUGGCUUGAGUGUGGGAGGGGGAGACGGAAUUCCUGGUGUAGCGGUGAAAUGCGUAGAUAUCAGGAGGAACACCGAUGGCGAAAGCAGUCUCCUGGCCCAAUACUGACACUGAGGUACGAAAGCUAGGGUAGCAAACAGGAUUAGAAACCCGAGUAGUCC